UGGGGAAUAUUGGACAAUGGACCGAGAGUCUGAUCCAGCAAUUCUGUGUGCACGAUGAAGUUUUUCGGAAUGUAAAGUGCUUUCAGUUGGGAAGAAAGAAAUGACGGUACCAACAGAAGAAGUGACGGCUAAAUACGUGCCAGCAGCCGCGGUAAUACGUAUGUCACGAGCGUUAUCCGGAUUUAUUGGGCGUAAAGCGCGUCUAGGUGGUUAUGUAAGUCUGAUGUGAAAAUGCAGGGCUCAACUCUGUAUUGCGUUGGAAACUGUAUAACUAGAGGACUGGAGAGGUAAGCGGAACUACAAGUGUAGAGGUGAAAUUCGUAGAUAUUUGUAGGAAUGCCGAUGGGGAAGCCAGCUUACUGGACAGAUACUGACGCUAAAGCGCGAAAGCGUGGGUAGCAAACAGG
rnacentral:rRNA from 1 species